AACGAACGCUGGCAGCAUGCCUAACACAUGCAAGUCGAACGAGAUCUUCGGGUCUAGUGGCGCACGGGUGCGUAACGCGUGGGAAUCUGCCCUUUGGUUCGGAAUAACAGUUGGAAACGACUGCUAAUACCGGAUGAUGACGAAAGUCCAAAGAUUUAUCGCCAGAGGAUGAGCCCGCGGAGGAUUAGCUAGUUGGUGUGGUAAAGGCGCACCAAGGCGACGAUCCUUAGCUGGUCUGAGAGGAUGAUCAGCCACACUGGGACUGAGACACGGCCCAGACUCCUACGGGAGGCAGCAGUGGGGAAUAUUGGACAAUGGGCGAAAGCCUGAUCCAGCAAUGCCGCGUGAGUGAUGAAGGCCUUAGGGUUGUAAAGCUCUUUUACCCGGGAUGAUAAUGACAGUACCGGGAGAAUAAGCUCCGGCUAACUCCGUGCCAGCCGCCGCCGUAAAAC
rnacentral:rRNA from 1 species